UUUAUUAAUUUUGAAUAGUUUAGAAUAUAAAAAUAUACAAAAAAUUACUAAAAUCCUUUAUAAAAGGUGUAUUUUAUUAAAAUCCCUUAAAGGGGACCAUCCCAGGUCGACUCAGCCUGAAUAAAAUGAGUACCUUGGGCAAAACCAGGGGUAAUAAUAGGCGGUUGAAGCGUAGCUCUGGCCCUGUUACCUUCCUUGUAUACCGUAGGCCCUAGAUAUAGCAGACUACCCUGCUAUAAUCCCAAACCCGCAUUAGCGGUAUAAAACAGGUGACUAUUAUAUUUAAAAUAUUCCUGGAUUUAACAUCAGGCACCACAGGUCUUCUCCACGGGGUUGCUUUGUCCAGAGGAAGGAUCCUCAUAUCACGGACAUUAGCAACUGAAGUUGGGGUGGAAGAGUCCUGUGGUGCCUGGGGUUAAAUCCAGGAAUGUUUUAAAUAUCACUCUAAUUUUAAUACAAUAAUGUAAACAUUUUUAGAUAAGGUUGUUGCAACGAGUGAAGAGUUUGGUGUGUUACUAAACAUAAAGAAAACAAAAUUCAUGGUUGUAUCAAAUAAAAGUAUUAGAAACAUUAAUCUCUACGUAAAUAAUAAGACGAUAAACGAGUUCAGAAUUAUAACUAUUUAGGAACAAACAUUAAUGAAACAAACGAUUAUACCAAAGAAAUCAGAAGUAUUUCCCAUUAUAAAUAGUUAAAAUCAGAAGUAGAAUAGAAAAGGCUAGAAGUACAUUCAAUCAUAUGAAAAGACCUCAGCCUAAAUCUUAGAAAACGAGUACUAAAGCGUUAUGUAUUUUCUGUUCUUUUGUAUGGUGUGGAGACAUGGACACUUAAUAAACAAUGUCUCAAUAGAUUGGAAGCAUUUGAAAUGUGAACCUGUCGAAGAAUGCUGAAAAUCUCCUGGACAGACAGAAUAACCAAUGAAGGAGUACUAAGAUGAAUAGAGAACAGCAGGGAGAUACUGGAUUCCAUCAAAAUAAGAAAACUGCAAUACUUGGGUCAUAUAGGUAACACGUGGUGACAGAUAUGAACUCUUAAAAUUAAUUAUGCAGGGAAAGAUUCAAGGAAGGCGCAGCAUAAUUAUUGUUAGUUCAAAACCUCGUGAACCUCGUAAAUACGCAUUCCCGAAAAAAUAAAUGGAACCUAAAAACAUCCACCAUUUUAAUUGCAUAGGAAAUUAGGCGACAGGGUAGGAUUUGCACAUGCUAAAUGAUGUCGAGUAUUUCCAAUAAACAUGACAUAUUACAUAUUAAACUCGGACAAACAUAAGUUUGGGAAUAUGAUUCAAAACUCGAUGAUGCGCAGUGGUUCUUGUUUACUAGCGUUACCAUGGAAACGGCCAGUUUGCUGAUCGCCAGUGUCGUAGUUAGAAGUGCAUUACGUAUCGCAGAGAGUGUUUAACUUAUUGGUUUGAUCGUGUUGGAUAUUUUAUUAAUAGUUUUUAGCUUAGUGUUUGGUAUAUUAGUAGUAGUAAUUAGUGUAUUAUUAAGACAUUUAGUGUAUCUCUAGUGCGUUAAGUUAAGUCAUUAGUUAUUUAACAAUAUGCCUCAUAAAAAGAUAGGAAUCAAAGGGCUGGGAUUGAAUAGCCAAGCAAAGGCAAUCAUUUAUAAUGUUACUACAUUUAUGGAACAAGAGGCAGCACAUUUCAAAACAACCGAAAACCUGUUAAUACCUUAAAGUAAAUUGACGUAAGUAUUGUAUUUUUGACAUUUUAUUUUCUUGAUAUUACGUAUUUAUGAAGUUUCAUCAGAUUCUUCUUCUUCUUUAGCCCAUUUCUAUCCACCUUUGGACAUAGGCCUUCCCCAAAUCUUUCCAUAUCUGUCUGUCCUUGGCUGCGCUUUUCCAGUGAGUUCCUGCAGCUUUUACAAUAUCGUGCUUCCAUCGCAUCUGAGAUCUUGCUCUUCCUCUUCUUCCUGUCCACGGUCUCCUGUUUUGUAUUUCAGCAUUCCAUCUUUUAUCUUCCUGUCUCACGUUGUGGCCUGCAAAUCUCCACUUUAACCCUGAAUAUGCUCAGUUACAUUUUUUACGUUUGUUUUCUCUCUUAUCCAAUUGUUUGGUUUUCUGUCUUGCAGUGUUAUUCCCAACAUGGAAUAAAACAUGAAUUAAUACAAUAUAUAUUUUCUGUGAGUUAUUUCUAUUUUGUUUAUGUUGGCCUUUGUUAAUGUCCAUGUUUAUGAGCCAUACGUCCUAACAGGAAGGAUGCUCUGAUCAAAUACACGAGUUUUUAGGCACUGUUUCUUUUUUCACGCCAAUCUUUUGCAAUUUUUUUCGCAAUAUUUUCAUUUAGUAACAUUUAACAUUGGUAAUUGUAGGGAUAGGAUUCUAGCAGCGACGGGUAUAAGCAAAAACACCUUAUCCAAAAUAAGAAAAGAAGGUAGAGACGUAAAUAAAAAUGUAGCAACUAGUUUAUCUUUUAAAAGUCCAAAAAGAAAACGUUGUCGUUCCAAAAAAAUUGAAUUGAGCAGUGGACAAGUUAAAACCGUCAAAAAUAUUAUAUACGACUUCUACAUCAUCGAAAAAAGAUCCCCUACAAUUAAUGGUCAUCAUAAGGUUAUCAAAAACCAAAGAACAAACAAAUGGAAUUUCCAGGGUCAAAGGAAACAUUAAGAAAAACGAUAAUUGGAUUAGGCUUUAGGUAAAAUAGUAAAAGUAAUUAUUCAGCUUAACAAAUAAAAUUGUAUAAUGGAUAAUGUAUUUUAGAAUCGUAAUUAAAACUUUGUUUAAUAUUAUUGUUUAGAAAAUAAAUAGAUUAGAAUUAGUAAAAAUAAA